UACAGUUUUAAAAAAAGGAUCGGUUUUUAAUUUACAAGAGUUCUAAAUGUACAGAAUUCUCCUUUAAAAAAAUCGUUAUACACAAUAAAUACAGUACAAAAAAAUUUAUCUUACAGUACUAGUUUUGUCUCCGAGAUUUCAAAAUCUGGCGCGGGCGGUUGGCGGCAGGAAGAACAGAGGGAAGACUGGCUGGGGGAGGGGGCGCGGGGGGAGGAAGACCCCGGUUUCCCGUUUGGGAGGUGCUCGCAUUUCGGCCGCGGGACAGGAGGGUGCCAAAUCUCUCUCUUUCUCGCUCUCUUGCUCACUCGAGCACACACACAGGGACACAGGACGCGGUGCCGGACGCACACACACGGACGUGACAGGUGCCCUCGGGCCUGCUCCGAGGCGGGGGUCCUGGGACGCUGGCUCGCGCCGCCCACCCCUUGCGCUUCUGCAGACAGCCUAUAGGGGGCGGCGGGGGAGAGGCCGAGCGCGGCUUCCCGGGGACCCUCCCAGCUCUGAGCGCCCCUGACCCCCCGGAUCCGCAAAGCCACACACACACACACAAGCCCGGUCCCCCGACACGCGGGAGUGGUGGGAGCGACCAGGGCCCCCCCCCCAUCCCUGGCAAACACACACACACGCACGUGUCCCCGGGACGCAGGGGGCGGUGCAGCAAGAAGUAGGAAGCAACAGGAAAGGACACACCAGGAUGACCCCCUCCUUUGGCAGGGGGGCGUUUUCCAUGACAGCCCCCUCCCCUAAACCCACGACCCCCACCCAACAACCAGGCUGAAGCAGGAGGCGGGGCAGGAGGCCUUUGUGAUUCAAAUAACUUAGGCAAGAAAGACUCAGGGGAUCCCCGGCUUGCGUCCCCCAGGAGGCUGAGGUCGGAGGCCCCGCUGCCCCCCACCCUGGCGUCCGCAGCGCGAGGGGACAGGGGAGGGAGGACCGGCCCGGUGUUAUCUGUUCAACGUCCUGGCGCCCAGGCCGCCGUUGUGACUGGAGGGCGGGUAGGUCUCCGGCCUGUGCAGGGGGGCCGGGGAGGCGGGCGUGCCGGCCGCGGGGGCGACAUGGGGGUACGGGGGCGCGGUCGUCCGGCCGGGGGCCUGCUGGAGGUUGAGGAUGCUGUCGAUGGCGCUCUGGAGGUGCUCGGUGAGCGUGUCGUCCUGCGGGCUGUCGCUGGAGAAGCUGGCCUGGUCCACGUCGGGGGACUCGGACUUGCGCCGCUUGGCGGGGGGCAGCGGGGGCGCGUCCCAGCCCGGCUCGCGGCUGCCACUGCCCUGCCCGGCGCCGGCCGCGGGCUCCGGGGGGCCGCCCUUCAUCAUGCGCUGGUACAGCUCGUCCUCCACCGCCGCCAGCUCGCGGAUGAGCCCGCUGGUGGCCUCGUCCACCUUGGUGGGCAUGGGCGCGGGGCUGCCUGCCCGGGCGCGACCACCGCCCGCCCCGUCGGGGCCCCCGCCGCCGCCACCCAGCGCCUCCACGUUCUCGCGAUACGUCUUGCGCAGCGCGGAGGCGGGGGGCAGUGGGGGGGCCGGGGCGGGCGGCUUGCGGUCGGCGGGGGGCGGGCGGAGGCGGGUGGUUCCACCGUGCCGUUCAUCUGGAGGGGUGGGGGGGCGGGGCGGCGGCGUGGGCGGCGGUGGUGGUGGUGGCGGCGGCGGGGGCCGGGGGCGGGGGCUCGGGCGCCUUGAGGGCGGCGGGCGGCGGCGGCUGGUGCACGGGGUCCAGGGCCGUGUUGUGCACGACCUUGCUGAGCCCGGCCUCCUGCUUGAUCUUGAGCUUGAGGCCGAUGCGGCUGCGGGCCUCGUAGGUCUUGAUGGGCGGCCGAUUGCGGGAGGGCAUCGGGCCGUCCUCGUCAGCGUCCAGGGAGGAGGCGGCGGAGGACGAGGACGACGAGGACGACAGGGAGGACGAGGACGCGCGGGCCCAGGUCACCGAAGGGGAGCCGCCCGCGCCGCCGUGCCGGAUCACCAGCUUGGUGGGCAGGUGCAGAGGGGGCGGGGCCGGGGCCCCGGAUGCUGAGGACGGUGGGGGGCCGUGGCCCGGGAGCCGGUGUCCGACGUCGGAAGAGGCGGCGAUGGGGAGGCCGAGGGAGCGCGAGGAAGACACGUACUCGUCUGCGAACAGAGCGAGGAAAAGCAUGAGGCCCCGCGCAGAGCAGAGGAGCAGGAGGCGGUAUUUAUUCAGCAUGGCCUGGGUGCGUUUCAACAGCUGCGUGGAGACUGUCUCAAACUCCUCGUCCACUGUAGGGGGAAGAGACAUGCUCGUCUCCACCCUGUGCUGAAGACCAGUGGCCCCCACAUGUCACAGGGCAGGUCUGUCUUGUGCUUCCAGAAUCCAGCACAGGACUGGGCCCUGGUGUCUGCAGGUCUCUGUCCAACUGGCUCGGGCUCUGGCGUGCCCCCCGCCUGGACCGUCCUGCUGAUCCACCCGCCGCCGCCCGCGUCUGUCUCGUCUGCCCCUGACGGCCUGUCCGCCUCAUCUGCCCCUCCUGCCCCUGGCGGCGUCACUCCAGCCCCUGCCCUCCGCUCUGGGGGCCCCUUACCUGCAGCCCGGAGGACUUCCCCGGCCCGGAUGACGCGGCUUUGGCCACACUCAGGGUCGGGAGGCUGUUGGCAAAGGCUUUGCUCUCGGCGGGAAGCAGAGGAGAGACGCCUGGGGCGGGCGGGGCAGACAGGGCGCAGGGGUCAGUGGCACAGAGGCCACCCUACAAACGUGACCCCCAAGCCUGCAUCCCGCUCUCCUCCAGUUGUCUGGCCUUGGUGGCCACGCCAGCCCCACAGUGAGUGCCCCUUGGAUCUGGGGAGACAGGCCCCCUCCUCCACCUGCCCCGUCCCCUGAGGUCAGGCCCCCCCCGGGCUCACAGCCCCCACAGCUCUACCCCAGCCCAUCCUCCCUGUUGCUCAGCCCCGCACCCACCCACCUUUGGGCCCCCAUCUCUCCUGCUGCUCCCCUACCUGUGGUGGCCAUGGGUGCCGGGGCAGGGGGAUGGCUGGGGGCGGUGGGGGUCCCCGAUGGGGCCUGCCCGCUGACCAGCACAGAGGCCGUGGGGUUGGCGAGGGGCCCCAGGCUGGCGGAGGUCUGCGGGGCAGCGGGGCCCCCCCCGGCCUUGUUCUGGAGAAUGAUCC
rnacentral:lncRNA from 1 species